rnacentral:rRNA from 1 species
GACGAACGCUGGCGGCGUGCUUAACACAUGCAAGUCGAACGGAAAGGCCCUGCUUUUGUGGGGUGCUCGAGUGGCGAACGGGUGAGUAACACGUGAGUAACCUGCCCUUGACUUUGGGAUAACUUCAGGAAACUGGGGCUAAUACCGGAUAGGAGCUCCUGCUGCAUGGUGGGGGUUGGAAAGUUUCGGCGGUUGGGGAUGGACUCGCGGCUUAUCAGCUUGUUGGUGGGGUAGUUGCUUACCAAGGCUUUGACGGGUAGCCGGCCUGAGAGGUUGACCGGCCUCAUGGGGACUAUGAGACGGACCAGGCUCGUACGGGAGGCAAGAGUGGGGAAGAUUGCACAAUGGGCGGAAGCCUGAGGCAGCAACGCCGCGUGCGGGAUGACGGCCUUCGGGUUGUAAACCGCUUUCGCCUGUGACGAAGCGUGAGUGACGGUAAUGGGAAAAGAAGCACCGGCUAACUACGUG